rnacentral:rRNA from 1 species
UACGAAGGGGGCUAGCGUUGCUCGGAAUCACUGGGCGUAAAGCGCACGUAGGCGGCUUACUAAGUCAGGGGUGAAAUCCUGGAGCUCAACUCCAGAUCUGCCUUUGAUACUGGUGAGCUUGAGUCCGGAAGAGGUGAGUGGAACUGCGAGUGUAGAGGUGAAAUUCGUAGAUAUUCGCAAGAACACCAGUGGCGAAGGCGGCUCACUGGUCCGGUACUGACGCUGAGGUGCGAAAGCGUGGGGAGCAAACAGG